rnacentral:rRNA from 1 species
UACGUAGGGGGCUAGCGUUGUCCGGAUUUAUUGGGCGUAAAGAGCGUGUAGGCGGCCAUGUAGGUCCGGUGUGAAAACUCGAGGCUUAACCUCGAGAUGUCAUCGGAAACCAUUUGGCUAGAGUCCGGAAGAGGAGAGUGGAAUUCCUGGUGUAGCGGUGAAAUGCGCAGAUAUCAGGAGGAACACCGGUGGCGAAGGCGGGUCUCUGGGCAGUAACUGACGCUGAGGAGCGAAAGCGUGGGGAGCGAACAGG